rnacentral:rRNA from 1 species
UGAGGAAUAUUGGUCAAUGGGCGAGAGCCUGAACCAGCCAAGUAGCGUGCAGGAUGACGGCCCUAUGGGUUGUAAACUGCUUUUAUAUGGGAAUAACGUGAGGGACGUGUCCCUUAUUGCAUGUACCAUAUGAAUAAGGACCGGCUAAUUCCGUGCCAGCAGCCGCGGUAAUACGGAAGGUCCAGGCGUUAUCCGGAUUUAUUGGGUUUAAAGGGAGCGUAGGCUGUUUGUUAAGCGUGUUGUGAAAUGUAAGAGCUCAACUUUUAGAUUGCAGCGCGAACUGGCAGACUUGAGUGCGCACAACGUAGGCGGAAUUCAUGGUGUAGCGGUGAAAUGCUUAGAUAUCAUGACGAACUCCGAUUGCGAAGGCAGCUUAUGGGAGCGCAACUGACGCUAAAGCUCGAAGGUGCGGGUAUCGAACAGG